AUUUUGCUUAGAACCAUUUCAAGAAUUAUGAUAUUUGUGUAAAUUUUUUAACUUAAUUUAGCAUAGUGUUCUAAAGUUACCAACAAUUCUAAAACCUUUGAUGGGAUUAAUCGGCCAAUAGAAGUUUGAAAAAUCUUGUGUCUAUUGUUAUUGGUUUUUAUUUUUGGACUUCAGUCAUUUCCAUUUUGUUCACAAGCUUGUAAUUGUACUUAUGGACUUUACAAUUUUUUUACUUCAGGAUAUUGCCCUAGUUUUGGAAGGUAAUUACUUUUGUGUUUUUGGCAAGAACCCUCUCUUGAUUUCUCAUUGUCUUCUAUGAUUGCACAAGCCACGAGAAUUUUUCCUACAUUUUAGUCUCAAUGCAGAAAAUGAAAUGUUGCACACACUUUCAUUUUUAGUAGGUAUUAUGAAGAUGGAAUUCUUUGUGGCUCACCCAAUUUCUACAAGUAGGUUUGGCUCAUUCCAUAUUGUGUGUUCUUCUUUUGCUUAAUUUUCUAAUAUUUAAAUGUAUAAUUUUUCGUCUUUGGCACUUUAUUUUAUUCUUUGUUCUUGUCACUUAUGUUGAAGAAUUUGAUUUUAAUGAGAUCGCUAUUUCUCUUUGAUUUCAAUGUUGUUUGGUAUUUACAAUAGAUUUAAUUGUUUGUUUUUUCAAUGGGUUCAUGUAUUGUUGAAGGAGAUGUGCACUAAAUUAUUUAAGCAAUUCUCGUCGUCU
rnacentral:lncRNA from 1 species